GGGAGAGAAACGGCUUAAAGCGCAGAAGUCGAAAAAGCUGAAGGAUCACGCACCCCAAGCCUGCUUCGUGGCGCUCAGUCGGAUGCAGCUGCAGAAUACUCGUGACUGUCUUAUCUCUGUUACUGCGCAGACUAACACAUAGUGCUGGCCUCUAUCAGAAGCUUCAAUUACAGCAUUCUUUGUGGAGAAGGAUUGUUGGAGACAAAACUAAAGAAACUGAAUCCUGAAGUUGCAGGGCUUUGACAACUUCAGACCUCUCUGGGCUCGGAGAAAGAAGACAUUCUGAAGCAACUGUGUAUAGGAAUGCAGAAAAGGAAUGCCAAGACCACCUUUGUCUGCAGGUGUAUAUAACACACUGUGUCUAAGUCUUGAUCGUGUGCCUUGACGUAUAAACGAAAGAAGGAAUUUGGGCCAUUUCUUUAAAGUAUUAUCAUUAGUCUGUAGUGGAAUGUUUUGAAAGAGAAAAAAUAUUUUAGGUAAUAAUGUCAUCGUAACUGUUGCCAUAGUCGGUAGUGGCACCUGUCCUGUGGAACACCCUAUCAGCAGAUGUCAAGGCAAUAAGUAACUAUUUUACUUUUAGAAGUUAGGGAAGUUUUUAAUGUUUAAUGCGGUACUGUUUUAAUAUUCGGUUGGAAGCCGCCCAGAGUGGCUGGGGAAACCCAGCCAGAUGGGCGGGGUAUACAUAAUAAAUUGUUGUUGUUGUUGUU